AUGGAGCACCAGGGACACGGCACCGGCGAGAAGAAGAGCAUCAUGAGCAAGAUCAAGGAGAAGCUCUCCAGCAGCCACGGUGAUCACCAGCAGGCCGCUGCCACCCACGGGCAGCAGGGACACACCACUACGGCCAUCGAUGGUGCCUACGGGCAGCACGGACACACCGGAGCCACCGGCACUGGGAUGCACGGCGCCGACACGGGCGAGCAGAAGAGCGUCGCGGAGAACAUCAAUGACAAUCUCCCUGUCGGCCAUGGGGACCACCAGCAGACUGGUGGCACCGACGGGCAACAGGGACACACCGCCGCGGCGACGCAUGGUGCCUCAGCCAUCGGCGGCACCUAUGGCCAGCAGGGUAACACCGGUAUGGGGACACUUGGCGCCCCGGCCGCUGAUGGUGCGUACGGGCAGCAGGGACACACUGGGGCCACCGGCACGGCGAUGCACGGCGGCGGCACGGGCGAGAAGAAGGGCGUCAUGGAGAACAUCAAUGACAAGCUCCAUGGUGGUCAUGAGGACCACCAGCAGACUAGUGGCACCUACGGGCAGGAGGGACACACUGAUGCGGCGACGCAUGGCGCCUCAGCCACCAGCGGCACCUAUGGGCAGCAGGAAAACACCGGGACACACCGAAAUGUCCGGCACGGGGACGCACGCAUCAGCCAGAAAAAGGACGUGAUGGAGGACAUCAAGGCCAAGCUCCCAGGUGGCCAUGAUGAUCGCCAUCAGACCGGUGACACCUAUGGGCAGCAUGGACACACCAACACUGCAAUACAUGUCACCCUUGCCACCGGCGACACCUAUGGGCGGCAGGGACACACCAGGAUAACCGACAUGGGAACAUACGGCACCGGCGAGAAGAAGGGCGCCAUGGAGAAGACCAAGGAGAAGCUCCCCAGUGGCCACGGUGACCACCAACAGACUGGUGGCACCUACGGGAGCCAGGAAGACACCGAAAUGACUGGAAUGGGGAUGCAUAGCACCAAGGCCACAGAUGGCACAGAUGGAUAUGGAGCAUUGUUCCAAACCCUAGCUUUGUCUAACAAGGGGAAGCUCCCCGGCGGCCAUGAUGACCACCAGCAGACUACUCGCACCAACGGGCACCAUGUUGGCACGGGGACGCAUGACAACCCUGCCACCGAUGACACCUAUGGGCAACAUGAACACCCCGGAGUGACCGGCACAGAGGCAUACAGCACCGGCGGCACAGGCGAGAAGAAGGGCAUUGUGGAGAAUACGAAGGAGAAGCUCCCCGGUGGCUACAAUGACCGCCAGCAAACCGGUGACACCUACGGGCAGCAGGGACACACCGGCACUAUGACGCAUGGCACCCCGUCCACCUGUGGCACCUACGGGCAGCACGGACACGCCGGACUGACCGACAUGGGAACCCAGGGCACCGGCAGCACCGACAAGAAGGAUGUCAUGGACAACAUCAAGGAGAAGCUCCCUGGUGGCCACGGUGACCACCAGCAGACCGCUGUCACCUACGGGCAGCAUGGACACACUGGAAUGACUGGCACGGAGACGCAUGGCACCACGGCCACCGACGACGGGAAGCAAGGACACAACGGAACAACUGGCACUGGGACACACGGCACCGACGGGACCGGUGAGAAGAAGAGCCUCAUGGAAAAGAUCAAGGAGAAGCUGCCUGGACUGAACUAA
rnacentral:rRNA from 1 species